UCAGUUCGGAUCGGAGUCUGCAACCCGACUCCGUGAAGCUGGAUUCGCUAGUAAUCGCGCAUCAGCCAUGGCGCGGUGAAUACGUUCCCGGGCCUUGUACACACCGCCCCGUCAAGCCAUGGGAGCCGGGGGUGCUUGAAGUGCGUCGCCGCAAGGCGCGCCCUAGAGCAAAACCGGUGACUGGGGCUAAGUCGUAACAAGGUACC
rnacentral:rRNA from 1 species